GCCUACGGGGGGCAGCAGUGGGGAAUAUUGGGCAAUGGGCGCAAGCCUGACCCAGCAACGCCGCGUGAAGGAAGAAGGCUUUCGGGUUGUAAACUUCUUUUCUCAGGGACGAAGAAAGUGACGGUACCUGAGGAAUAAGCCACGGCUAACUACGUGCCAGCAGCCGCGGUAAUACGUAGGUGGCAAGCGUUAUCCGGAUUUACUGGGUGUAAAGGGCGAGUAGGCGGGAUUGCAAGUCAGAUGUGAAAACUAUGGGCUCAACCGAUAGAGUGCAUUUGAAACUGCAGUUCUUGAGUGAUGGAGAG
rnacentral:rRNA from 1 species